rnacentral:lncRNA from 1 species
UAGAAUCUGUAGGGCAUGGAGACUGCUCUGUGGCACAACUAGAGAAGGAGAGAUGUGGGGGACAGUUGGAAGAGUGGUAAAGCAGUAGAGGCAGAAUGCUCAUUUUGGUAAUCAAGGAGCACCAAAACAUAACAAAUGAAUUCUCCCCGAUACCUCCUAAGGAUGAUGACUUAGCACUCACUUUCUCUAGAAGUAAUGGCUACAGAGUUGAAGAGGGGCAGAUAAUCCAGGAUCUUCCCAGAAGAGACAUUCCCACAGCAGGCAGGUUGUUGGUGGUACGGUGGGAACAAGUACUCGGGCCAAGGAGAAUCAAGAUAAAGACUACCUCUCCCACUUGUUAGUAAGCUUUCCAGGCUCUUGUUCUUUCCUCCACAAGAUUUUGGAGAUCCAGAAAAGGAAAAGACAUGAUAAGAGAAGAUGCAUCCUGAACAACUUUUAUUAUGAAGAAGCUGAGGCUCUGACAAGUGCAGUUACUUUCACGAGGUGCACAGUUAAGAGGCAGCACUGCUGUGCUUCAUACUGACAGUGCUUGAUCUCUUCUCUUUUACAUUCUCCAUCCCCAGACACUUAACAUCUUUGGCUGGAUUUUCUAGGAGUUUCUUUGGGAUAUGCCAUUAGGUUUGUGAACAAAAUAAGUAUAAAAAUAAUUAUAAAUAUAUAUAUAUAUAUGCAUGUAUGUUGAAUCAGCUAA